GCCUUCAUGGUGCAAUGCUAGCAUACUCGCCUCGUAUUCGAGAUGUCCAGGUUCGAGUCUCGAUGAGAGCA
rnacentral:tRNA from 1 species